rnacentral:rRNA from 1 species
GACGAACGCUGGCGGCGUGCCUAAUACAUGCAAGUUGAGCGCUGAAGGUUGGUACUUGUACCAACUGGAUGAGCAGCGAACGGGUGAGUAACGCGUGGGGAAUCUGCCUUUGAGCGGGGGACAACAUUUGGAAACGAAUGCUAAUACCGCAUAAAAACUUUAAACACAAGUUUUAAGUUUGAAAGAUGCAAUUGCAUCACUCAAAGAUGAUCCCGCGUUGUAUUAGCUAGUUGGUGAGGUAAAGGCUCACCAAGGCGAUGAUACAUAGCCGACCUGAGAGGGUGAGCGGCCACAUUGGGACUGAGACACGGCCCAAACUCCUACGGGAGGCAGCAGUAGGGAAUCUUCGGCAAUGGACGAAAGUCUGACCGAGCAACGCCGCGUGAGUGAAGAAGGUUUUCGGAUCGUAAAACUCUGUUGGUAGAGAAGAACGUGGGUGAGAGUGGAAAGCUCAUCAAGUGACGGUAACUACCCAGAAAGGGACGGCUAACUACGUG